rnacentral:rRNA from 1 species
AUUGAAUGCUGGCGGCAUGCCUAACACAUGCAAGUCGAACGCGAAAGAGGGGCAACUCUCGAGUAGAGUGGCGGACGGGUGAGUAAUACGUAGGAAUCUGCCCUAGAGUGUGGGAUAACCUGUCGAAAGACGGGCUAAUACCGCAUAAUCUCUAUGGAGCAAAGGGGGCUAGCGAUAGCUUUCGCUUUAGGAUGAGCCUACGUCGGAUUAGCUAGUUGGUAGGGUAAUGGCCUACCAAGGCGACGAUCCGUAGCUGGUCUGAGAGGACGAUCAGCCACACUGGAACUGAGACACGGUCCAGACUCCUACGGGAGGCAGCAGUGGGGAAUAUUGGACAAUGGGGGAAACCCUGAUCCAGCAAUGCCGCGUGUGCGAUGAAGGCCUGCGGGUUGUAAAGCACUUUCGGUGGGGAAGAAAUGCUCAAAGAUAAUACCUUUGAGAGCAGACGUUACCCACAUAAGAAGCACCGGCAAACUCUGUGCCAGCAGCCGCCGCAGUAA